rnacentral:rRNA from 1 species
AUGCAAGUCGCACGAGAACGCUUCAGCUUGCUGAAGCUAGUAAAGUGGCGCACGGGUGAGUAACGCGUGGGUAAUCUACCUCCAAAUUGGGGAUAACAUUGCGAAAGCGAUGCUAAUACCGAAUAAUAUCUCAAAUACUUCGGUUUUUGAGAUCAAAGGUGGCCUCUCCAUGGAAGCUACUGUUAGGAGAUGAGCCCGCGUACCAUUAGCUUGUUGGUAGGGUAAUGGCCUACCAAGGCAACGAUGGUUAGCUGGUCUGAGAGGAUGAUCAGCCACACUGGAACUGACACACGGUCCAGACUCCUACGGGAGGCAGCAGUGAGGAAUUUGCGCAAUGGGGGAAACCCUGACGCAGCAACGCCGCGUGAGUGAUGAAGGCCUUCGGGUCGUAAAGCUUUGUCAAGUGAGAAGAACCUGCCCUGCGCUAAUAUCACCGGGCACUGACGGUACCAUUGAAGGAAGCACCGGCUAACUCCGUG